UGGGGCGGAGGGUUAGUUUUAAGAGCAAAGGGCCUUUACUAAAAUGGCGAAGGCCUUCCGUCGGCGUUGUUUUAAAAUGGGAAGCCUCGACCCUGUAUUGAAACUGAGCUGUUCGAAGGCGGCGUUGUGUGCAAUUCGGAUUAAUGAAGGGGAAGGGUUUUGUGUGGAAAAACGCCUUGGAGUGUGACAUUUCUGCGAGAAUGCUUAAAUACCGAUUUCCCGCAGGAACAAUGGCGCUGUCUUCAGUGGCACAGUGGAGCAGCUCUGAAGAUGCAAAGAUACACGAAAAAACUUCCAGAACAUCUGGGAGAAUAUUUAAUGGAAAAUCGCUUGGUUAAAACCUGACACUCUUAACAGGUAUGUGUUGUUUUAGUACUUUAUGAUUGAGCAUACCAUUUAAUCCACACCUAAACUAAAUCAAAUUUUUUUUGUCAGUGAACAGCGUUCUGAGUGUGGACGAGUAGCCAGUGAAGAUAAUGAAUGUCGAACGUGACUGACUAGCAGCUUCAUUUUGAAGUAGUGAGGGUCGCUGUCUGCCCAUUGAUAGAGGCCAGAUUGUCUUGGAAGUUCCAAAGUUGCAACGAUUUCUGGCUAGUGCCACGAGGUUUACUUGACUGUUGUGUGAAAAGCUGAUAAGAAAACCAUCCAGAAAAAAGCUCUUCGUUUUACAAACAUG
rnacentral:lncRNA from 1 species